rnacentral:rRNA from 1 species
AACUUUCAACAACGGAUCUCUUGGCUCUUGCAUCGAUGAAGAACGCAGCGAAAUGCGAUAAGUAAUGUGAAUUGCAGAAUUCAGUGAAUCAUCGAAUCUUUGAACGCACCUUGCGCCUUCUGGUAUUCCGGAAGGCAUGCCUGUUUGAGUGUC